rnacentral:rRNA from 1 species
UACGUAGGGCGCAAGCGUUGUCCGGAAUUAUUGGGCGUAAAGAGCUCGUAGGCGGUUUGUCGCGUCUGUCGUGAAAGCCCACGGCUAAACCGUGGGUCUGCGGUGGAUACGGGCAGACUAGAGGCAGGUAGGGGAGAAUGGAAUUCCCGGUGUAGCGGUGAAAUGCGCAGAUAUCGGGAGGAACACCGGUGGCGAAGGCGGUUCUCUGGGCCUGUACUGACGCUGAGGAGCGAAAGCGUGGGGAGCGAACAGG